rnacentral:rRNA from 1 species
UACGUAGGGAGCAAGCGUUUGUCCGGAAUCAUUGGGCGUAAAGCGCGCGUAGGUGGCCCCGUAAGUCCGCUGUGAAAGUCAAAGGCUCAACCUUUGAAAGCCGGUGGAUACUGUGGGGCUAGAGUACGGAAGAGGCGAGUGGAAUUCCUGGUGUAGCGGUGGAAUGCGCAGAUAUCAGGAGGAACACCAAUGGCGAAAGCAGCUUUCUGGGACGGUACUGACGCUGAGACGCGAAAGCGUGGGGAGCGAACAGG